rnacentral:rRNA from 1 species
GAUGAACGCUGGCGGCGUGCCUAAUACAUGCAAGUCGAGCGAACGGACGAGAAGCUUGCUUCUCUGAUGUUAGCGGCGGACGGGUGAGUAACACGUGGAUAACCUACCUAUAAGACUGGGAUAACUUCGGGAAACCGGAGCUAAUACCGGAUAAUAUUUUGAACCGCAUGGUUCGAAAGUGAAAGACGGUCUUGCUGUCACUUAUAGAUGGAUCCGCGCUGCAUUAGUUAGUUGGUAAGGUAACGGCUUACCAAGGCAACGAUGCAUAGCCGACCUGAGAGGGUGAGCGGGCACACCGGAACUGAAGCACGGUCCAGACUCCUACGGGAGGCAGCAGUAGGGAAUCUUCCGCAAUGGGCGAAGGCCUGACGGAGCAACGCCGCGUGAGUGAUGAAGGUCUCCGGAUCGUAAAACGCUGUUAUUAGGGAAGAACAUAUGUGUAAGUAACUGUGCACAUCUUGACGGUACCUAAUCAGAAAGCCACGGCUAACUACGGU